AGUGAACGCUGGCGGUAGGCCUAACACAUGCAAGUCGAACGGCAGCACAGUAAGAGCUUGCUCUUACGGGUGGCGAGUGGCGGACGGGUGAGGAAUACAUCGGAAUCUACUUUUUCGUGGGGGAUAACGUAGGGAAACUUACGCUAAUACCGCAUACGACCUACGGGUGAAAGCAGGGGAUCUUCGGACCUUGCGCGAUUGAAUGAGCCGAUGUCGGAUUAGCUAGUUGGCGGGGUAAAGGCCAAGCAAGGCGACGAUCCGUAGCUGGUCUGAGAGGAUGAUCAGCCACACUGGAACUGAGACACGGUCCAGACUCCUACGGUAGGCAGCAGUGGAGAAUAUUGGACAAUGGACGCAAGCCUAAUCCAGCCAUACCGCGUGAGUGAAGAAGGCCUUCGGGUUGUAAAGCCCUUUUGUUGGGAAAGAAAAACAGCAGUUUAAUACCCCGCUAUUCUGACGGUACCCAAAGAAUAAGCACCGGCUAACUUCGUG
rnacentral:rRNA from 1 species